rnacentral:rRNA from 1 species
AUUGAACGCUGGCGGCAGGCCUAACACAUGCAAGUCGAGCGGUAGAGAGGUGCUUGCAUCUCUUGAGAGCGGCGGACGGGUGAGUAAUGCCUAGGAAUCUGCCUAGUGGUGGGGGAUAACGUUCGGAAACGGACGCUAAUACCGCAUACGUCCUACGGGAGAAAGCGGGGGAUCUUCGGACCUCGCGCCAUUAGAUGAGCCUAGGUCGGAUUAGCUAGUUGGUGAGGUAAUGGCUCACCAAGGCGACGAUCCGUAACUGGUCUGAGAGGAUGAUCAGUCACACUGGAACUGAGACACGGUCCAGGACUCCUACGGGAGGCAGCAGUGGGGAAUAUUGGACAAUGGGCGAAAGCCUGAUCCAGCCAUGCCGCGUGUGUGAAGAAGGUCUUCGGAUUGUAAAGCACUUUAAGUUGGGAGGAAGGGUAGUAACCUAAUACGUUAG